GAUGAAGAACGCAGCGAAAUGCGAUACGUAAUGUGAAUUGCAGAAUUCAGUGAAUCAUCGAAUCUUUGAACGCAUAUUGCGCUCUCUGGUAUUCCGGAGAGCAUGCUUGUUUGAGUAUCAGUAAACACCUCAACUUCCAUAUCUUUUUUUGAAAUGGGAGUUGGACUUGAGUGAUCCCAACGCUUUUCCUCACCGAAAAGUGGCGGGUUACUUGAAAUGCAGGUGCAGCUGGACUUUUCUCUGAGCUAUAAGCAUAUCUAUUUAGUCUGCCUAAAAAACAGAUUAUUACCUUUGCUGCAGCUAACAUAAAGGAGAUUAGUUCUUGUGCUGACUGAUGCAGGAUUCACAAAGACAGCUUCGGCCGACUUUGUAAACUCGAUCUCAAAUCAAGUAAGACUACCCGCUGAUCUUAAGCAUAUCAAUAAGCGGAGGA
rnacentral:misc_RNA from 1 species